UUUCUACCAAUAAAACGGUGAAACAGUUUUUUUGCCACUGAAUAAACUAACUGAAGAGUCUGAUUGACCAUUUCUGGGACAUAUUCUCUUCAACUAUGCUCUUGACAUAUGUCCAACGUCUUGAUUGGCCCGCUCAAUCUCCCUUCACUGUGAGGAUGCCUUAGACGUCCAUGUUCUAUGACACAAUCGGGCCAAAGUUGUUUUAAUUCAUCCAGUACACAGCUUACAAACUUUAGGCCAUUAUCACUCUGUAAAAUACUUG